AUAAACUAUUUUUUCAAAGAUUUGCUUAAAAUCUUACGUUUGCUAGUGUUUAUGUUCAAACAACACACGUGACACACGUGACUAAACCUGAUUGGUUGUUGUCAUAGUAACACGUCACGGUGCUAUUUGAAAGCUGUAGUUGUUCAGUGAGUUUAGUUCACGAGGUGCAUGCGGUUGCUUGCGUUAAACGUAUAAACUGUUAAAUUAGAUGGCGACUCUGCAUUAAACGUAUUUAUUUAAUUAAUCGGCGAUCGUAUUUCACCAGAGGACUAAGAUAAAACAACUCGAUUUAAAAUGUGAGCAGUUUUAGUGGAUCUGACGUCGAGGGAAAAAGUAUUUCGCUUUUUGUUUGGAGAUGAACGAGGCAACACGAGGCACAGCGACAUAAAUAUGACCAACCAGAUCCCAAGUAGACGGGAACAAAUGAAGAUAUAGCGCAUAGAAAGACUUAUUCUUGGUGAUCAACUGCUAUUGACAUUUUUGAAUCGGGACAAUUGUGGAGUGAUUCGGAAGAAAAACAUUUGCAACACAUCCAUUCCAGGUGGCUAAUUUCUGUCCUUUUGAAUUAUUCUUGUAAAAACCGUUUGUUUUUAUUGUAAAGCUGUAAGGGACUUGGCCUAGUCAUCCUUGCAUAUACCAUUUGGCAGGGCACCAGACUAACUUUUUUUACUAGGAGCACAGUGGCCCCCAACUGAAAAUUUUAGGGGCGCAACCAGAAAAUUAAGGGGCACACACGGUAAAACAACAUGCUAACCAAAUAUUCACAUGUCUACUAAUUUAUACUGUAUUACUAAUAAAUACUUUAAUUAUAGAUUCAGAAAGUACAAUGUACUUUUUCAAAUUCAGUGUCAAAUCACAAAAAAAGGUCAAAUUUGCUGGUCACACAUGUGCGACCGGAUGUAAAAUUCAGUGGCACACUCUCAAAUUUUGGUGGCCACCAUUUGAUAGCAGUCUGGAGCCCUGUUUGGCAUCAUUUCUGAUUUCCUUAAAUCUCCUUAAACAGAGGUGAACCUUAAGUUUGCAAGACCACAAUAGACAAACAAUGGAAAAUGA